CUACUUUCCUGUCAGGCGAGACAUUACGAAUAUGUAGGUAGUUUUCACAGGGUGAGGUUCAUCCAUUCUACGCCAGCUGUGCUGACCCCUGCAAUUUUCCCAAAUGUGGGAAACUCGACUGCUUAAUUUGUCAUUCAUGGUCUAAGCAAAGCAGCAUGGCCAG